rnacentral:rRNA from 1 species
CGCGAAGAACCUUACCAACUCUUGACAUCCCAUUGACCGCUUGAGAGAUCAAGUUUUCCCUUCGGGGACAAUGGUGACAGGUGGUGCAUGGUUGUCGUCAGCUCGUGUCGUGAGAUGUUGGGUUAAGUCCCGCAACGAGCGCAACCCCUAUCCUUAGUUGCCAGCAUUGAGUUGGGCACUCUAGGGAGACUGCCGGUGACAAACCGGAGGAAGGUGGGGAUGACGUCAAAUCAUCAUGCCCCUUAUGAGUUGGGCUACACACGUGCUACAAUGGACGGUACAAAGGGCAGCGAGACCGCGAGGUGGAGCCAAUCCCAUAAAGCCGUUCCCAGUUCGGAUUGCAGGCUGCAACUCGCCUGCAUGAAGUCGGAAUCGCUAGUAAUCGCAGGUCAGCAUACUGCGGUGAAUACGUUCCCGGGUCUUGUACACACCGCCCGUCACACCACGAGAGUUUGCAACACCCGAAGCCGGUGAGUAACCNACAAGGAGC